AUUGAACGCUGGCGGCAGGCCUAACACAUGCAAGUCGAACGAGUGGCGGACGGGUGAGUAAUGUCUGGGAAACUGCCCGAUGGAGGGGGAUAACUACUGGAAACGGUAGCUAAUACCGCAUACCAUCGGAUGUGCCCAGAUGGGAUUAGCUAGUAGGUGGGGUAACGGCUCACCUAGGCGACGAUCCCUAGCUGGUCUGAGAGGAUGACCAGCCACACUGGGACUGAGACACGGCCCAGACUCCUACGGGAGGCAGCAGUGGGGAAUAUUGCACAAUGGGCGCAAGCCUGAUGCAGCCAUGCCGCGUGUAUGAAGAAGGCCUUAGGGUUGUAAAGUACUUUCAGCGGGGAGGCGUUACUCGCAGAAGAAGCACCGGCUAACUCCGUGCCAGCAGCCGCGGUAAUAC
rnacentral:rRNA from 1 species